rnacentral:rRNA from 1 species
GACGAACGCUGGCGGCGUGCUUAACACAUGCAAGUCGAACGGAAAGGCCCUGCUUUUGUGGGGUGCUCGAGUGGCGAACGGGUGAGUAACACGUGAGUAACCUGCCCUUGACUUUGGGAUAACUUCAGGAAACUGGGGCUAAUACCGGAUAGGAGCUCCUGCUGCAUGGUGGGGGUUGGAAAGUUUCGGCGGUUGGGGAUGGACUCGCGGCUUAUCAGCUUGUUGGUGGGGUAGUGGCUUACCAAGGCUUUGACGGGUAGCCGGCCUGAGAGGGUGACCGGCCACAUUGGGACUGAGAUACGGCCCAGACUCCUACGGGAGGCAGCAGUGGGGAAUAUUGCACAAUGGGCGGAAGCCUGAUGCAGCAACGCCGCGUGCGGGAUGACGGUCUUCGGGUUGUAAACCGCUUUCGCCUGUGACGAAGCGUGAGUGACGGUAAUGGGUGAAGAAGCACCGGCUAACUACGUG